GCCACCUCCCUUCGAGCGCCGGCCAACAACAGGCGAGGAAUCGAUGGAUUCCCGUCCGCCCGUAGCCUUGCGCCGCCACCAGGAACCGCACACCAACGGCACCCCUCCGGCCAUCACCUCCCCCAACCAAUCACCAAAACAAGAUCACGACUGCAGUCAUUGACGUUGAGCAGUCUAAACAGGUUGACAUUCUUUCUGUCAAGAUAUAAUAUACGACAGGAUCAGGCCCUGAUAUAAGUUAACCAACCUGAAAGCUAUUUUGAUUUAGCAUUUACUGGCAGAUGAAGUGGGUCCUUAUCCUCCUUUCUGCCAGGGCUUGCUUACUGCACAGAAGGUGUCAGUAUACCAUGGCGCUGUUGAUUUGUCCCUGAUGACCGUUGUUGCUUCCUUCACGCUAAUCAUACGCACAAUUAAUUUUCUUGUACUGCUACACUAUGAGCCUGCAGGGUACCAGCAGCAACCAUCAGAAUUUCAUCUUUGCACCAUAACAAAUGCAGAUAUGACAGUAAAAAAAAAAGGCUGUUACACAACUUUGGGUUCUCGAAGGAUGAUGUGCUGGCGAUUGUGAGGAAACAACCUCUCGUCCUGGGAGCAAAAGUUUCAUCAGGGAAAAUUGGAUUUCCUGAUGAAGGAUGACGGUCUGGAGGUAUCAUGUAUCAUGCGAAGGCCAGUGCUGCUCAAGUAUAGUGUUGAGCGGCGGUUGUUGCCCAGGCAUUGCUUGAUCAAAGUUCUGAAAGAGAAGGGACUGCUCAAGGGUAAGCUGGACUAGUAUUUGACUGCCUCGAUGGCUGAGAAGAUUCUUUUUAUUUUUGAAAAUUAGGCUGAGAAGAUUUUCGUGGAAAAGUUUGUGCAUCCUUUAAAAAACAAUGUCCCACGGCCCCUUGACCAACCUCUUCAUGUGCCUGUGGUUCAACGAGGUGCUCAGGUUCACGUCCACCUGUUCCCGGUCUCCGCGCGCAAGGACCUGGUGCACAACAGGUGCAAGUUUUGUGCAAGGUGAAGCCGCUCGUCAAGGACGCGAGAUGAGCUUCUGAAUCGACUCCUUUGAGGUCCCGUCUUGGUCAGGACAAGUAACUCUGCUGGUGCGUGAGAUCAGCCUGCCUGACUAGUUGCAGCCAUAAAUAUGAUUGUGUAGUGAAAUAUACAGUGAGAGUGCUGCCAUCGAAGUGUAACUGUGUAGGGUAGUGUAGAGAGGCAUGCAGCAGACGACGUGUUCGUGCCGCGUUGUUUCAGGCAAAGCCGAGGCCUGAGCUUUUGCCGUUCUUCUUGGCGAAGAAUGAAGAAUCGAAGAAUUCAGUCCCAAGAUCCGGUCGUUCAUCUUGACACUAGCAGAACACAAAAUACAGCAAAAUUCGACAAGGGCAAAUAAGGCCACCACAUUCUUCUGCACUAACCACUCGAUCAAUGUUCCAAUUUACAAAGGUCUCACAGCUCAAUUCAAAAGGGGAGCACACAUGCGCAGCAUCAAAUCUCAAUCGACAGCAGAGUACAGACUCCUCCAGCCUGUAGGCACACAGCCACUCCACA